rnacentral:rRNA from 1 species
AUGAACGCUAGCGACAGGCUUAACACAUGCAAGUCGAGGGGCAGCACAGGUAGCAAUACCGGGUGGCGACCGGCGCACGGGUGAGUAACGCGUAUGCAACUUACCUAUCAGAGGGGGAUAACCCGGCGAAAGUCGGACUAAUACCGCAUGAAGCAGGGGCCCCGCAUGGGGAUAUUUGCUAAAGAUUCAUCGCUGAUAGAUAGGCAUGCGUUCCAUUAGGCAGUUGGCGGGGUAACGGCCCACCAAACCGACGAUGGAUAGGGGUUCUGAGAGGAAGGUCCCCCACAUUGGUACUGAGACACGGACCAAACUCCUACGGGAGGCAGCAGUGAGGAAUAUUGGUCAAUGGCCGAGAGGCUGAACCAGCCAAGUCGCGUGAGGGAUGAAGGUUCUAUGGAUCGUAAACCUCUUUUAUAAGGGAAUAAAGUGCGGGACGUGUCCCGUUUUGUAUGUACCUUAUGAAUAAGGAUCGGCUAACUCCGUGCCAGCAGCCGCGGUAAUACGGAGGAUCCGAGCGUUAUCCGGAUUUAUUGGGUUUAAAGGGUGCGUAGGCGGCCUUUUAAGUCAGCGGUGAAAGUCUGUGGCUCAACCAUAGAAUUGCCGUUGAAACUGGGGGGCUUGAGUAUGUUUGAGGCAGGCGGAAUGCGUGGUGUAGCGGUGAAAUGCAUAGAUAUCACGCAGAACCCCGAUUGCGAAGGCAGCCUGCCAAGCCAUGACUGACGCUGAUGCACGAAAGCGUGGGGAUCAAACAGGAUUAGAUACCCUGGUAGUCCACGCAGUAAACGAUGAUCACUAGCUGUUUGCGAUACACUGUAAGCGGCACAGCGAAAGCGUUAAGUGAUCCACCUGGGGAGUACGCCGGCAACGGUGAAACUCAAAGGAAUUGACGGGGGCCCGCACAAGCGGAGGAACAUGUGGUUUAAUUCGAUGAUACGCGAGGAACCUUACCCGGGUUUGAACGCAUUCGGACCGAGGUGGAAACACCUUUUCUAGCAAUAGCCGUUUGCGAGGUGCUGCAUGGUUGUCGUCAGCUCGUGCCGUGAGGUGUCGGCUUAAGUGCCAUAACGAGCGCAACCCUUGCCACUAGUUACUAACAGGUAAAGCUGAGGACUCUGGUGGGACUGCCAGCGUAAGCUGCGAGGAAGGCGGGGAUGACGUCAAAUCAGCACGGCCCUUACAUCCGGGGCGACACACGUGUUACAAUGGCGUGGACAAAGGGAGGCCACCUGGUGACAGGGAGCGAAUCCCCAAACCACGUCUCAGUUCGGAUCGGAGUCUGCAACCCGACUCCGUGAAGCUGGAUUCGCUAGUAAUCGCGCAUCAGCCAUGGCGCGGUGAAUACGUUCCCGGGCCUUGUACACACCGCCCGUCAAGCCAUGGGAGCCGGGGGUACCUGAAGUCCGUAACCGAAAGGAUCGGCCUAGGGUAAAACUGGUGACUGGGGCU